GGGUUGUGAGGUUAAGCGACUAAGCGUACACGGUGGAUGCCCCGGCAGUCAGAGGCGAUGAAGGGCGUGCUAAUCUGCGAUAAGCGCCGGUAAGGUGAUAUGAACCGUUAUAACCGGCGAUACCCGAAUGGGGAAACCCAGUGUGAUUCGUCACACUAUCAUUAACUGAAUCCAUAGGUUAAUGAGGCGAACCGGGGAACUGAAACAUCUAAGUACCCCGAGGAAAAGAAAUCAACCGAGAUUCCCCCAGUAGCGGCGAGCGAACGGGGAGGAGCCCAGAGCCUGAAUCAGCAUGUGUGUUAGUGGAAGCGUCUGGAAAGGCGCGCGAUACAGGGUGACAGCCCCGUACACAAAAGCGCAUGUGCUGUGAGCUCGAUGAGUAGGGCGGGACACGUGGUAUCCUGUCUGAAUAUGGGGGGACCAUCCUCCAAGGCUAAAUACUCCUGACUGACCGAUAGUGAACCAGUACCGUGAGGGAAAGGCGAAAAGAACCCCGGCGAGGGGAGUGAAAAAGAACCUGAAACCGUGUACGUACAAGCAGUGGGAGCACAGGUUUACCUGUGUGACUGCGUACCUUUUGUAUAAUGGGUCAGCGACUUAUAUUCUGUAGCAAGGUUAACCGAAUAGGGGCCGGAGGGAAACCGAGUCUUAAUUGGGCGUUAAGUUGCAGGGUAUAGACCCGAAACCCGGUGAUUCAGCCAUGGGCAGGUUGAAGGUUGGGUAACACUAACUGGAGGACCGAACCGACUAAUGUUGAAAAAUUAGCGGAUGACCUGUGGCUGGGGGUGAAAGGCCAAUCAAACCGGGAGAUAGCUGGUUCUCCCCGAAAGCUAUUUAGGUAGCGCCUCGUGAAUUCAUCUCCGGGGGUAGAGCACUGUUUCGGCUAGGGGGCCAUCCCGGCUUACCAACCCGAUGCAAACUGCGAAUACCGGAGAAUGUUAUCACGGGAGACACACGGCGGGUGCUAACGUCCGUCGUGAAGAGGGAAACAACCCAGACCGCCAGCUAAGGUCCCAAAGUCAUGGUUAAGUGGGAAACGAUGUGGGAAGGCCCAGACAGCCGGGAUGUUGGCUUAGAAGCAGCCAUCAUUUAAAGAAAGCGUAAUAGCUCACUGGUCGAGUCGGCCUGCGCGGAAGAUGUAACGGGGCUAAACCAUGCACCGAAGCUGCGGCAGCGAACGUAUCACCCAAGACAACUUUACGGAGUUGACGAUUGACGGAGCGAAGCGACGUCAAAGCGUUCAUUAAAGUCGAGUUGGCUUAGGGAUACGUUCGUUGGGUAGGGGAGCGUUCUGUAAGCCUGUGAAGGUGUGUCGUGAGGCAUGCUGGAGGUAUCAGAAGUGCGAAUGCUGACAUAAGUAACGAUAAAGCGGGUGAAAAGCCCGCUCGCCGGAAGACCAAGGGUUCCUGUCCAACGUUAAUCGGGGCAGGGUGAGUCGACCCCUAAGGCGAGGCCGAAAGGCGUAGUCGAUGGGAAACGGGUUAAUAUUCCCGUACUUGGUGUUACUGCGAAGGGGGACGGAGAAGGCUAUGUUGGCCGGGCGACGGUUGUCCCGGUUUAAGCGUGUAGGUGUGUGUUCCGGGUAAAUCCGGUUCACUUUAACACUGAGGCGUGACGACGAGGCACUACGGUGCUGAAGCAACAAAUGCCCUGCUUCCGGGAAAAGCCUCUAAGCAUCAGGUAACACGAAAUCGUACCCCAAACCGACACAGGUGGUCAGGUAGAGAAUACCAAGGCGCUUGAGAGAACUCGGGUGAAGGAACUAGGCAAAAUGGUGCCGUAACUUCGGGAGAAGGCACGCUGACACGUAGGUGAAGUGAUUUACUCAUGGAGCUGAAGUCAGUCGAAGAUACCAGCUGGCUGCAACUGUUUAUUAAAAACACAGCACUGUGCAAACACGAAAGUGGACGUAUACGGUGUGACGCCUGCCCGGUGCCGGAAGGUUAAUUGAUGGGGUCAGCGUAAGCGAAGCUCCUGAUCGAAGCCCCGGUAAACGGCGGCCGUAACUAUAACGGUCCUAAGGUAGCGAAAUUCCUUGUCGGGUAAGUUCCGACCUGCACGAAUGGCGUAAUGAUGGCCGGCUGUCUCCACCCGAGACUCAGUGAAAUUGAACUCGCUGUGAAGAUGCAGUGUACCCGCGGCAAGACGGAAAGACCCCGUGAACCUUUACUAUAGCUUGACACUGAACAUUGAGCCUUGAUGUGUAGGAUAGGUGGGAGGCUUUGAAGUGUGGACGCCAGUCUGCAUGGAGCCGACCUUGAAAUACCACCCUUUAAUGUUUGAUGUUCUAACGUGGACCCGUAAUCCGGGUUGCGGACAGUGUCUGGUGGGUAGUUUGACUGGGGCGGUCUCCUCCUAAAGAGUAACGGAGGAGCACGAAGGUUGGCUAAUCUGGUCGGACAUCAGGAGGUUAGUGCAAUGGCAUAAGCCAGCUUGACUGCGAGCGUGACGGCGCGAGCAGGUGCGAAAGCAGGUCAUAGUGAUCCGGUGGUUCUGAAUGGAAGGGCCAUCGCUCAACGGAUAAAAGGUACUCCGGGGAUAACAGGCUGAUACCGCCCAAGAGUUCAUAUCGACGGCGGUGUUUGGCACCUCGAUGUCGGCUCAUCACAUCCUGGGGCUGAAGUAGGUCCCAAGGGUAUGGCUGUUCGCCAUUUAAAGUGGUACGCGAGCUGGGUUUAGAACGUCGUGAGACAGUUCGGUCCCUAUCUGCCGUGGGCGCUGGAGAACUGAGGGGGCUGCUCCUAGUACGAGAGGACCGGAGUGGACGCAUCACUGGUGUUCGGGUUGUCAUGCCAAUGGCACUGCCCGGUAGCUAAAUGCGGAAGAGAUAAGUGCUGAAAGCAUCUAAGCACGAAACUUGCCCCGAGAUGAGUUCUCCCUGAGACUUAGAGUCUCCUGAAGGAACGUUGAAGACGACGACGUUGAUAGGCCGGGUGUGUAAGCGCAGCGAUGCGUUGAGCUAACCGGUACUAAUGAACCGUGAGGCUUAACCUUACAACGCCGAAG
rnacentral:rRNA from 1 species